CUACGGGAGGCAGCAGUGGGGAAUAUUGCACAAUGGGGGAAACCCUGAUGCAGCGACGCCGCGUGAUGGACGAAGGUUUUCGGAUCGUAAACAUCUAUCAGCAGGGAAGAAAAUGGCGGUACCUGACUAAGAAGCCCCGGCUAACUACGUGCCAGCAGCCGCGGUAAUACGUAGGGGGCAAGCGUUAUCCGGAAUUACUGGGUGUAAAGGGAGCGUAGGCGGUACUGCAAGUCCGAUGUGAAAGCCCGGGGCUCAACCCCGGGACUGCAUUAGAAACUGCAGAACUAGAGUACAGGAGAGGAAAGUGGAAUUCCUAGUGUAGCGGUGAAAUGCGUAGAUAUUAGGAGGAACACCAGUGGCGAAGGCGACUUUCUGGACUGUAACUGACGCUGAGGCUCGAAAGCGUGGGGAGCGAACAGGAUUAGAUACCCGGGUAGUC
rnacentral:rRNA from 1 species